rnacentral:rRNA from 1 species
AUUGAACGCUGGCGGCAGGCCUAACACAUGCAAGUCGAGCGGAGCGGCGGACGGGUGAGUAAUGCCUAGGAAUCUGCCUGGUAGUGGGGGAUAACGUCCGGAAACGGGCGCUAAUACCGCAUACUAUUAGAUGAGCCUAGGUCGGAUUAGCUAGUUGGUGGGGUAAAGGCCUACCAAGGCGACGAUCCGUAACGGGUCUGAGAGGAUGAUCAGUCACACGGGAACUGGAAAACGCCCCAGACCCCAACGGGAGGCGGAAGGGGGGAAUAUUGGACAAUGGGCGAACGCCUGUUCCAGCCAUGCCGGGUGGGUGAAGAAGGUUUACGGUUUGUAAAGCACUUUAAGGUGGGAGGCGUUACCAGCAGAAUAAGCACCGGCUAACUUCGUGCCAGCAGCCGCGGUAAUAC